CUCAUUUUCAUCUCAUAAUAUCCAGUGUCAUGCCUGUCUUCAAACACGUUAUUGAAUUAGAUGAUGGAAUUUAUGAGUUUUAUUGUGAGAUGCACAGUGGAACAACAACUGAAGCUCAUGUUAUUCCAAGCUCUAGGAUUCAACAAGACAAAGAUGAAGGUGAGACUUCUUCUUUAGCAGCUUUCAAAUCUAAUUAUGAAAAGCUUCCUCAUUAUCUCAAAUCCUGCUUAGAUUAUUGUUAUGUUGUUUCCAAUGAAAUGAAUGAAAUGAUUGAAUCUUUUUGGAGUAUGGGUAAAGGAGAUGUAGUUCGGCUAUUGUUGGCACAAGGUCUAAUACCAGAAAAACCGGGGGAAAUUAUGGAGGAUACAGCAGAAAAUAUUAUUAACGAAUUAAUUGGCUUAGAGAUGCUUCACGAACUUUAUCUUUUUCACAGUCAAAUAAAAGUCUCCGUGCCUUUUGGCUAUGAAAAAUCAUGCCUUUUGGAAGUCGAGGAGCAAGAUUUCAUUUCUAAGGCUGCCGAUUUGCCAAUCCAUGCACAUAUUAUUCAUUUUGGAGAAGACCUGCCUCCUAACUUCAAAAGCCUUCUAAUUCAAUCCUUGGCUAUUGAAGUCUACUCUUUUCGGUUGUGUCGGCAAACUAUCUGUGGGUUGCAGUUUCUGUUGGUAUUGAAGUUGAUGAGCCUAGUAGAGUACUUACCUGAUGAAGUGGGAGAUUUGGUUCACCUCAAGUACUUAUACUUGACCUGCUUUAAAAUGAAGACGCUUCCACGUACUAUAGCUAAUCUUCAAAAGCUACAAACGUUGCAUCUACCUCAUUGUUCAAAGCUAUUCACAGUGCCUGUAGAAAUUUAUAAUAUUAAACAACUUCGGCACCUUUUGUUUGCCAAUUGCCACGAAUAUA
rnacentral:misc_RNA from 1 species